CCUCCCCGCUACCCCAUCCCAUGGCGCCUCACUCCCUCCUUCCUCCCCCGCCCCCGCCAUCCCACGGGACCGCCUCUCCCCGGCGCCGCACCGCCGUCGCCUCGUUCCCUUCCGCGCGCAGAGGAAUUUGAUGGUUCGAUUUUUGGAGACCAUCGUCUGCAGUCCUUAAUCCCCGUCCACCUCUGUCCGUCAUAGACCACAUCCGUCGACCACGAUUCCACGAAGCUGGAGAACGCGGGGGACAGUGCCGGCCGAGAACAAGGAAGCACGGGUGACCCUUUUCCACUCCACCGAUGGCUGCGCGCUCAAGGUGGAGGAGCUCGCCGGAGUAAAAAAAAAGUGAUGGGCAAAGCUUCACCGGUGGAAGAGUAGCUCCAGCAGAGGAGCAGCAACUGUAGCAGAGGAGGAGCAGCAGCUCAGACAAAUGAACAGCAGCACUACGUGUAGAGGAGCUCCUCCAGCCCCUCGGCCCGAUGGCUUCUCCCCUGAGGUUUGGAGAUGCUGUUGCUGCGCCAACUAGAGAUGAUAGGGGAGCCGAUGAGCCAAACGGCACAAGCAAGCUAAAGGUUCCCCCUUGUGAGCUCGACGGCGACGGCGACGUCUUGUUCGUGGUUCAAUAGAUUUAUAGGUGUUCAGAUUUAGUGUCAUCAAUUUAUAGAUUUUGUAAAACCUUGUUGUAAUAUACACUGGCACCAAGAAUUCAGGUUUUACAUCAAACAUCCUGAAUUCUGAAAAUUGUUGUAAUAUACACUGGCACCAACAGAUUGCAACCAGACAAGGAAAUGCAUGGCAUUCGGUGAAAGUUUGCGAUUGUAAUAGCUGCAACCAUUCUGUAAUGAUCAUCCCUAGUUUUCCCUAAUAGCUGCAACCAUUCUGUAAUGAUUGUAACUGGAGUAUGCCAUACAUCCUAGUUAGGCAACUCUUUAUGAACUUUUUCUGUAAAACGAUGAUUUUUACUUUUUCCUGGA